GCUGGGCUCAUUCUUCUGGGGGGAAUGGGUAGGGGGAGGAAUGGCAGAGUCAGCCCCAGCAGAAGUUUAUACUGGCCCAGGAAUUCAUUUGGGAAAAACAGUCUGACUACUAGACCAAUUAAAAGGAGGACUCACAAAUCCUUUUUUCCCUAAUCUGUGGAAAUUUCUGUGCCAAGAAAAGCAGCUUAAUUUUUUUGACAUAGCAAACUUUUUCUCCCAUGUCCAGCUCCACUCUCAAGGAGGAGAAAACCAUCUAUCUUCAUCUGUGCUAGCAGGCUGCUCAGUAUGAGAACAUGGAGGACUGAAAUGAUUAAGCCUGACAGGAGAUUGGUUCACGACCUCUGGAACAAUUCAAACCCACCACGUGACCUCCUUCUACUCCCAAGCCAAGUGCAGGCAAAUGGCUCUCCUAAGGAAACUUCAGUCAUCACUUGCCCCCAUUGCAACUCUAUCAAAUCAGAAACUGACCUUCCUGAAUCAGCCCCUUUCAAAGCUGUUAUUAUUUAUCUUUCUCGUCUC
rnacentral:lncRNA from 1 species